CCUACGGGUGGCAGCAGUGAGGAAUAUUGGUCAAUGGACGCAAGUCUGAACCAGCCAAGUAGCGUGCAGGAUGACGGCCCUCCGGGUUGUAAACUGCUUUUAGUUGGGAAUAAAAGGGGGCUCGUGAGCCCCGUAUUGUAUGUACCAUCAGAAAAAGGACCGGCUAAUUCCGUGCCAGCAGCCGCGGUAAUACGGAAGGUCCGGGCGUUAUCCGGAUUUAUUGGGUUUAAAGGGAGCGUAGGCCGGCUUUUAAGUCAGCUGUGAAAGUCCGCGGCUCAACCGUGGAAUUGCAUGUGAAACUGGAGGGCGUGAGUACACACGGGGAGGGCGGAAUUCAGGGGGUAGCGGUGAAAGG
rnacentral:rRNA from 1 species